rnacentral:rRNA from 1 species
GCUUAACACAUGCAGUCGAAGGUAACAGGAAGCACUUGCUGCUUUGCUGACGAUGCGGACGGGUGAGUAAUGUCUGGGAAACUGCCUGAUGGAGGGGGAUAACUACUUGGAAACGGUAGCUAAUACCGCAUAACGUGGCAGGACCAAAGAGGGGGCCUUCGGGCCUCUUGCCAUCGGAUGUGCCCAGAUGGGAUUAGCUAGUAGGUGGGGUAACGGCUCACCUAGGCGACGAUCCCUAGCUGGUCUGAGAGGAUGACCAGCCACACUGGAACUGAGACACGGUCCAGACUCCUACGGGAGGCAGCAGUGGGGAAUAUUGCACAAUGGGCGCAAGCCUGAUGCAGCCAUGCCGCGUGUAUGAAGAAGGCCUUCGGGUUGUAAAGUACUUUUCAGCGGGGAGGAAGGCGAUAAGGUUAAUAACCUUGUCGAUUGACGUUACCCGCAGAAGAGCACCGC